GGAGCUGUGGAUCAGUGGAUGUGUCUUUGCUUUUCAUGCAAAAGGUCCCAGGUUCAAUGCCUGUCAUCUUCA
rnacentral:tRNA from 1 species